UUAAUCCUAAAGUGUUCGUUAAAUAAAUCGUUUUGACCUAACAGCUAUACAUUGGGAGUUCCUUAUUUUUAUAUGGAUGUUGUUAUCCUUAUAAUGUUUAUGAUGCAUUGUUCGUGAUACCAAUAAGUAUAAAAUAGAACACCCACCUGCAUUAAGCGGGCUCAAAAUGUAUGUUGGACGGCAUUGUUGGGAUUAAU
rnacentral:other from 1 species